UACAGAAGGCCCGAGCGUUAAUCGGAAUCACUGGGCUUAAAGCGUACGCAGGCGGACUUGUAGGUAUCUUGUGAAAUCCCAUGGCUUAACCAUGGAACUGCAGGGUAAACCACAAGUCUUGAGACAUGUAGGGGUCAGUGGAACCAUGAGUGGAGCGGUGAAAUGCGUAGAUAUUCAUGGGAACGCCAAUGGCGAAGGCAGCUGACUGGGCAUGUUCUGACGCUCAGGUACGAAAGCGUGGGUAGCGAACGGG
rnacentral:misc_RNA from 1 species